rnacentral:rRNA from 1 species
UACGGAGGGGGCUAGCGUUGUUCGGACUUAUUGGGCGUAAAGGGCGCGUAGGCGGCCUUUCAAGUGACGGGUGAAAUCCCUCGGCUUAACCGAGGAACUGCCUGUCAGACUGGAAGGCUUGAGACCGGGAGAGGUGAGUGGAAUUCCCAGUGUAGCGGUGAAAUGCGUAGAUAUUGGGAGGAACACCAGUGGCGAAGGCGGCUCACUGGACCGGUACUGACGCUGAGGCGCGAAAGCGUGGGGAGCAAACAGG